ACCGUAGGAGACAAACGUUCUCCGUCUUUCCUUUUCUUCCCUUUCUUUCAGGUGGUCUGUUAAGUUCGGCGUGAAAGCGCCCGGCUAAACCGGGCGAGGUCGUCGGAGACUGGCGGACUAGAGGACGGUAGAGGCGGGUGGAAUUCCGGGUGUAGUGGUGAAAUGCGUAGAGAUCCGGAGGAACACCAGUGGCGAAGGCGACCCGCUGGGCCGUACCUGACACUAAUACGCGACAGCAUGGGGAGCGAACGGG
rnacentral:rRNA from 1 species